AUGAUGAAUUUUCUGCCAGGCCCCACUUACGGUUCAUUAUGGUGGUGGAAUGUUGACAAGCUGUGUCUGUCUGUCCACCUAUCAUUCUCUCAAUUGUUCAGUUUAAGCACUUUUGGCAGAAGGCUGGACUUUGGGCAUCGGCCGAAUCAUCCUGAGUACUUCUUGAGUUUUUUCUCUCAGCUGCGGAUUGUAAUUUAUUUGCUGCAGAAGAUGGAUGCGAAGAUGUCGAGCAUGUGGCCCUGCGCACAAGAGAAUACAAAUUCACGAAUAAGUAAAACCUAUAUGUCGGAUCGGACAUUCUGUUUCCACUUCUCUACAUCAUGCUGCCCACCGGGCAUGGAUAUUCACCUCCACCAAUUUGAUUGA
rnacentral:rRNA from 1 species